UAUUUAAAAUAUGAUAUUUACAUAUAAAGAAAGUAGAGAGACUUCAAUCUUACUAGAAAAAUACUAGAUUACCUGAAAUGAAAUGGGGUUUAAAGACAACGUCCUACUGGUCAGCUCCGACUGGUCUAAUGCAUUGUGCUAAGUGAAAAUGUUUGUCUGGGCAGCGACACUAUGGCCUACUCUCAUACCGAAUUCAAACUGCCAAGAGAACUUUUAUGUGUACGCCAAUGUGUACAUUGGAUCUCAGGGGAAACCACUCUGCAAAAUCAAGAUGAGCUUUCUCGGUCAACCCCAUGCUAGUGUGCCAGCACCUAAUUUACUCAGUCACCAUGGCCGUCUUCUAAUUACUGCGACAGUGAAACCAUGUGACAAACAAGGAUUAUUAAGAUAGACUUUUACGGCUUGGUAGUUCCUUGGGAUUAAAACUUUUGAUACAUAUAGAUACAUUAGUUUCAAUUUCAUAUCACACAGUUUGUAUAUAUGGUAAGGUAGCUUUAAUCGUAAAUUACAUAUCAUGUAUUUAUUUUUUCAGUUUCAAUAUUGGAUGUAUAUGCAAAUCACCCAGAAAAAGAUCAUGUAAUAACAAAAGAAAUUAUAAAAGAAAAAAAGGAAGAAGAAAUGGCUGGAAAAAAUGAUGAUAGAGCAGCUUUUUCUUGUUACCCACCUCGGAAGAUCAAGUUGGAAAGGGCUAUUGAUAUUGUGGAGACGUUUUAUCACAGAUCUUGCUUAUCAGACAAAGACUAUGCUGGAACACCAUUGAAAGAGUAUUUGCUGUAUGAUAACAACAAGAAAACCCAAGCAUCAAUUUAUUUUAUACUUCUGGGAAAGAAUGCAUUUGACCCAAUUUUUAAAUAUUUAUUUUUUGUUAUUAAUGUUAAAUUUUCUUCCAAAACACAAUUAGAUUUUAAUUCUCUUCAGAAAUGUAUGUAUAAUAUAGCAAGUAAAGUGGCAUAUAAAUCACUAAGAAUUUGGUCAGAAA